UUGUUGUCUGGAGAAGCGUCCUCAGCGGCGGACCGGGCCCACGUCCCCUGGAAAGGGGCGCCGGAGAGGGUGAGAGCCCCGUCGUGCCCGGACCCUGUCGCACCAUGAGGUGCUGUCUACGAGUCGGGUUGUUUGGGAAUGCAGCCCUAAUCGGGCGGUAAAUUCCGUCCAAGGCUAAAUACGGGCGAGAGACCGAUAGCGAACAAGUACCGCGAGG
rnacentral:ncRNA from 1 species